rnacentral:rRNA from 1 species
AGUCACUGACAUUAGAUACCCGGGUAGUCCCAGCCGUAAACUAUGCGCGUUAGGUGUACUGGUGACCACGAGUCACCGGGGUGCCGAAGAGAAAUCGUGAAACGCACCACCUGGGAAGUACGGUCGCAAGGCUGAAACUUAAAGGAAUUGGCGGGGAGCACCACAACAGGUGGAGCCUGCGGUUUAAUUGGAUUCAACGCCGGACAUCUCACCGGAUAAGACAGCUGAAUGAUUGUCAAUCUGAAGGUUUUACAUGACUAGCUG